rnacentral:rRNA from 1 species
GGUUAAGCGACUAAGCGUACACGGUGGAUGCCCUGGCAGUCAGAGGCGAUGAAGGACGUGCUAAUCUGCGAAAAGCGUCGGUAAGGUGAUAUGAACCGUUAUAACCGGCGAUGUCCGAAUGGGGAAACCCAGUGUGAUUCGUCACACUAUCGUUAACUGAAUACAUAGGUUAACGAGGCGAACCGGGGGAACUGAAACAUCUAAGUACCCCGAGGAAAAGAAAUCAACCGAGAUUCCCCCAGUAGCGGCGAGCGAACGGGGAGCAGCCCAGAGUCUGAAUCAGCUUGUGUGUUAGUGGAACGGUCUGGAAAGUCCGACGGUACAGGGUGAUAGUCCCGUACACCAAAAUGCACAGGUUGUGAACUCGAAGAGUAGGGCGGGACACGUGGUAUCCUGUCUGAAUAUGGGGGGACCAUCCUCCAAGGCUAAAUACU